UUCCCACAGUUCCCUCAAAACUCUGGCCCUUAAGCACGUUAGAGUCAGACACAUGAAUGUUUGAGCAUAGCUCUGCUACUUCUAUCACCUUAGACACUGUGCUAAAUUUUGAGAGCAGACGAAGAAUAAAAUCUAAUUCAUAUCCUCAACAAACUCAUGGUCUAGGUGGGGAGAUGGAUAUGCAUCAAAGCAUGUCUGUUCAGGCUGGUGACUCACUUUCAGCUGAGGGGAAUGCAACAGAAGUGACAAUGUGUG